UCCCUGGUGGCUCAGACAGUAAAGCAUCUGCCUUCAAUGCGGGAGACCUGGGUUCGAUUCCUGGGUUGGGAA
rnacentral:tRNA from 1 species